rnacentral:rRNA from 1 species
UUGCUCUUCAACGAGGAAUGCCUAGUAAGCGCAUGUCAUCAGCAUGCGUUGAUUACGUCCCUGCCCUUUGUACACACCGCCCGUCGCUACUACCGAUUGAAUGGCUCAGUGAGGCCUUCGGACUGGCUUAGGGAGGUUGGCAACGACCACCCCGAGCCGGAAAGUUGGUCAAACUCGGUCAUUUAGAGGAAGUAAAAGUCGUAACAAGGUUUCCGUAGGUGAACCUGCGGAAGGAUCAUUAUUGUAGGGGCCUUUUGGCCCAUUACGAGAAGCAACCCUUGUCUUUUUUGUGCACCGAUCGUUUCCUCGGCAGCUUUGCCUGCCAAUGAGGACCCCCGAAAAACCUUUUGCAGUCUUAGUAUAACGUUCUGAAAACAAACAAUAUCAAAACUUUCAACAAUGGAUCUCUUGGUUCUGGCAUCGAUGAAGAACGCAGCGAAAUGCGAUAAGUAGUGUGAAUUGCAGAAUUCAGUGAAUCAUCGAAUCUUUGAACGCACAUUGCGCCCUUUGGUAUUCCUUUGGGCAUGCCUGUUCGAGCGUCAUUUACAAAUUCAAGCUCCGCUUGGUGAUGGGUGUCUGUCCCGCCUUUGCGUGCGGACUCGCCUCAAAUGCAGUUGGCAGCUUGUUCCUCGGCUCUAAACGCAGCAGAUUUGCGUCGAGCGUCGUGCGGACGGGCUCUCCAGUAAGCAAACCCCCCCACAAAUUGACCUCGGAUCAGGUAGGGAUACCCGCUGAACUUAAGCAUAUCAAUAAGCGGAGGA